GGUCAAGUGAAGAAGCGCAUACGGUGGAUGCCUUGGCAGUCAGAGGCGAUGAAAGACGUGGUAGCCUGCGAAAAGCUUCGGGGAGUCGGCAAACAGACUUUGAUCCGGAGAUCUCUGAAUGGGGGAACCCAGCCAUCAUAAGAUGGUUAUCUUGUACUGAAUACAUAGGUGCAAGAGGCGAACCAGGAGAACUGAAACAUCUAAGUACCCUGAGGAAAAGAAAUCAACCGAGAUUCCCUUAGUAGUGGCGAGCGAACGGGGACUAGCCCUUAAGUGGCUUUGAGAUUAGCGGAACGCUCUGGAAAGUGCGGCCAUAGUGGGUGAUAGCCCUGUACGCGAAAAUCUCUUAGUCAUGAAAUCGAGUAGGACGGAGCACGAGAAACUUUGUCUGAAUAUGGGGGGACCAUCCUCCAAGGCUAAAUACUACUGACUGACCGAUAGUGAACUAGUACCGUGAGGGAAAGGCGAAAAGAACCCCGGAGAGGGGAGUGAAAUAGAUCCUGAAACCGUAUGCGUACAAGCAGUGGGAGCAGACUUUGUUCUGUGACUGCGUACCUUUUGUAUAAUGGGUCAGCGACUUAUUUUCAGUGGCGAGCUUAACCGAAUAGGGGAGGCGUAGCGAAAGCGAGUCUUAAUAGGGCGUCUAGUCGCUGGGAAUAGACCCGAAACCGGGCGAUCUAUCCAUGGGCAGGUUGAAGGUUAGGUAACACUGACUGGAGGACCGAACCGACUACCGUUGAAAAGUUAGCGGAUGACCUGUGGAUCGGAGUGAAAGGCUAAUCAAGCUCGGAGAUAGCUGGUUCUCCUCGAAAGCUAUUUAGGUAGCGCCUCAUGUAUCACUGUAGGGGGUAGAGCACUGUUUCGGCUAGGGGGUCAUCCCGACUUACCAAACCGAUGCAAACUCCGAAUACCUACAAGUGCCGAGCAUGGGAGACACACGGCGGGUGCUAACGUCCGUCGUGAAAAGGGAAACAACCCAGACCGUCAGCUAAGGUCCCAAAGUUAUGGUUAAGUGGGAAACGAUGUGGGAAGGCUUAGACAGCUAGGAGGUUGGCUUAGAAGCAGCCACCCUUUAAAGAAAGCGUAAUAGCUCACUAGUCGAGUCGGCCUGCGCGGAAGAUGUAACGGGGCUCAAACCAUACACCGAAGCUACGGGUAUCAUCUUAGGAUGAUGCGGUAGAGGAGCGUUCUGUAAGCCUGUGAAGGUGAGUUGAGAAGCUUGCUGGAGGUAUCAGAAGUGCGAAUGCUGACAUGAGUAACGACAAUGGGUGUGAAAAACACCCACGCCGAAAGACCAAGGUUUCCUGCGCAACGUUAAUCGACGCAGGGUUAGUCGGUCCCUAAGGCGAGGCUGAAAAGCGUAGUCGAUGGAAAACAGGUUAAUAUUCCUGUACUUCUGGUUAUUGCGAUGGAGGGACGGAGAAGGCUAGGCCAGCUUGGCGUUGGUUGUCCAAGUUUAAGGUGGUAGGCUGAGAUCUUAGGUAAAUCCGGGAUCUUAAGGCCGAGAGCUGAUGACGAGUUACCCUUUGGGUGACGAAGUGGUUGAUGCCAUGCUUCCAAGAAAAGCUUCUAAGCUUCAGGUAACCAGGAACCGUACCCCAAACCGACACAGGUGGUUGGGUAGAGAAUACCAAGGCGCUUGAGAGAACUCGGGUGAAGGAACUAGGCAAAAUGGCACCGUAACUUCGGGAGAAGGUGCGCCGGUGAGGGUGAAGGACUUGCUCCGUAAGCUCAUGCCGGUCGAAGAUACCAGGCCGCUGCGACUGUUUAUUAAAAACACAGCACUCUGCAAACACGAAAGUGGACGUAUAGGGUGUGACGCCUGCCCGGUGCCGGAAGGUUAAUUGAUGGGGUUAGCUAACGCGAAGCUCUUGAUCGAAGCCCCGGUAAACGGCGGCCGUAACUAUAACGGUCCUAAGGUAGCGAAAUUCCUUGUCGGGUAAGUUCCGACCUGCACGAAUGGCGUAACGAUGGCGGCGCUGUCUCCACCCGAGACUCAGUGAAAUUGAAAUCGCUGUGAAGAUGCAGUGUAUCCGCGGCUAGACGGAAAGACCCCGUGAACCUUUACUAUAGCUUUGCACUGGACUUUGAAUUUGCUUGUGUAGGAUAGGUGGGAGGCUUUGAAGCGUGGACGCCAGUUCGCGUGGAGCCAUCCUUGAAAUACCACCCUGGCAACUUUGAGGUUCUAACUCAGGUCCGUUAUCCGGAUCGAGGACAGUGUAUGGUGGGUAGUUUGACUGGGGCGGUCUCCUCCUAAAGAGUAACGGAGGAGUACGAAGGUGCGCUCAGACCGGUCGGAAAUCGGUCGUAGAGUAUAAAGGCAAAAGCGCGCUUGACUGCGAGACAGACACGUCGAGCAGGUACGAAAGUAGGUCUUAGUGAUCCGGUGGUUCUGUAUGGAAGGGCCAUCGCUCAACGGAUAAAAGGUACUCCGGGGAUAACAGGCUGAUACCGCCCAAGAGUUCAUAUCGACGGCGGUGUUUGGCACCUCGAUGUCGGCUCAUCACAUCCUGGGGCUGAAGCCGGUCCCAAGGGUAUGGCUGUUCGCCAUUUAAAGUGGUACGCGAGCUGGGUUUAGAACGUCGUGAGACAGUUCGGUCCCUAUCUGCCGUGGACGUUUGAGAUUUGAGAGGGGCUGCUCCUAGUACGAGAGGACCGGAGUGGACGAACCUCUGGUGUUCCGGUUGUCACGCCAGUGGCAUUGCCGGGUAGCUAUGUUCGGGAAAGAUAACCGCUGAAAGCAUCUAAGCGGGAAACUUGCCUCAAGAUGAGAUCUCACUGGAACCUUGAGUUCCCUGAAGGGCCGUCGAAGACUACGACGUUGAUAGGUUGGGUGUGUAAGCGCUGUGAGGCGUUGAGCUAACCAAUACUAAUUGCCCGUGAGGCUUGACCAU
rnacentral:rRNA from 1 species